AGCUACACUUGCACACUCAUCCAUCAUCAUCAAUAUGUAUGUAGAUUGUAAUAAUUUGAUAUCAUCAUUUCAUUUAUUAUAACAACACUACCUUGUGUUUCCAAUUGGAAAUCGUUUUCAGUGAUGCUCGUGGUGCCGCCGCCCUUGACGAUUCCGGCGCUUCAUCUUCUUCGCCGCCGCCCAUUUGUCCGACAGACAACUGGUGUCAACAGCAAAGGAAUGCGAAUGAAUUCAGAGUUGAUGGGUCGGGUUAUUAUUUUAAACCCCACUUCAGCUUAUUCGGGUGUUGCUAAAUGCAGUAAAAAAUUACUUCAUGCAGUAAUCAGGAAUUACAACUAAGUCCUUCAAUGUACUAUUAAAUAUUCACUGCCUUAUUAAAUGCACUUGCGUACGACUGUGUAUUAGAGUUUGUUAAUCAAGUUUUACUCGUUUUAAAGUCUAUCUACUCAUACUCUCGUUUGUCGAUAUUUUCUGAUAUUUUUUAUUUUUGUUUUAUUUGUAAGUAUUAAGUUUAUCUCUAUCAUAAUUGUAUUUAAAAUUAUAUUAUUUUAGUUAACAAUCUAAAAAUGAUGGAAUAUCUAACAUCAACAUUAUUUAUGUCUUUGUCUCAUUAUAAAAUCUUCUUUUUAUCUUGUUUAAUUUAUUUUGUCAUAGUAAAAUAACAUACUAUCUCUAUUUCAAAUUAACCUUUCUCAUAUUUUUUAGCCACAUUUAUUAGAUUUUGACUAAAAAAAAUGUAUUAUAUAUAAUUGUAAAAUUUUAUAUUAUUUAUAUAAUAAUUUUUAAAUUUAUCUUUUAGUUUCUAAAAAUUAUUAAAGGGCCAUUUAAUUGUUGACCGAAAAUAUGAUUUGAGAUGGUGAGUAUUUUUUAUAUAUAACCAUCUCGUUCUUAAGCAUUUUAAUUUGUUAGUAUUAUUUUUAUUAUAAAUUAUUUGUCCACUUUUUUUCAUGGUGUAUGGAAGGCAUACUUUUUAAAAUUAUUUUAUUUUAUAAAAAAAAUCAAAUAAUUAAAUUUAAACUUACAAGUACAAGUUUUUUAAAUAUUUGACGAAAAUCAGUGUUUGAUAUACCUAAAAAUACCUAUAGAAUAUAAAUUAAAAAAUAAAAAAUUACUAUUAGUAAAAAGCACUUGAAAAAAAAAAUGAAGAUAAUAGAGAAAAUAUGCUACUGUAAAAUAGUUUGAUAAAUGUAAAAAGCAAAAUCUUCGUAAAUGUAAAAUAUGUUUGACCAGAGUAAUGUUUUACGUACAAAUUCAACAACUACUCCUAAAAACAUUAGAUGCAUCGUUAACUCGCUUCUUUUCUCAUUUUCCUAUACAUCGCGCAAAAAAACAAGUUAAGGACAUAAUAGUAAAUUCUGAUUACUGCAUUAAGCAAUUUCUUACUGCAUUUAGCAAUCAUGUAUUCGUUUUCUACUUUACUCAUCUUUUUCUAUUAUUUUUUCUACUUUACUCAUCUUUUUCUAUUAUUUAAAUCACACUGAUAGGAAUAUUGUUCUGAAAAUCACAGAUUAAUUAUUAUUGAAUAUAUCCGAUAAAUGUGCAAGUGAGUGAUUAAAUCUUAUUUUCACUUUUUACUGGCCACCGAGGUGGAGUUAAUAAGAGCAUCUUCCAUGGGGUUACAUAUAGGUUCAAAAAGUGUAUAUUACGAAUACUUCUUUUAAUUUAUGGAUCAUUCAUUAUUUAAUUCAGGAGACCAUAUAGGCAACUUUCAAAAUUUGCUAACUGCUGGAGUAGAAUAUUGCCAAGUUGAUGAUUCGGCAAAGUUGACAAUUAACUUCACAGCCUCUUGUUGGCAUUCUAUUGUGAAUAUAAUCACUGCAUUGUUCUUCUUACUUGUGUUAACAUAAUUCUUCUAUCAACUAGUCGCAUCCCCUGCAAGUUGUGUUUUUACUCAUGCUAGCGUGGUGAAAGAUGGAGGGACAGAAAGUAUACAUUCUGUUAUAUGUGUGCGCUUGUAUAAUUCAUUUUUAAACUGCCUGUGUUUCUUUGAUUUCCAGACGGACUUCUUGAACAAACUCCGGUGGGCUAUGGCAUAUGGGCAAGGCAAGUGCCAGUUCUGAC
rnacentral:lncRNA from 1 species